AGUGAACGCUGGCGGUAGGCCUAACACAUGCAAGUCGAACGGCAGCACAGUAAGAGCUUGCUCUUACGGGUGGCGAGUGGCGGACGGGUGAGGAAUACAUCGGAAUCUACUUUUUCGUGGGGGAUAACGUAGGGAAACUUACGCUAAUACCGCAUACGACCUACGGGUGAAAGCAGGGGAUCUUCGGACCUUGCGCGAUUGAAUGAGCCGAUGUCGGAUUAGCUAGUUGGCGGGGUAAAGGCCCACCAAGGCGACGAUCCGUAGCUUGUCUGAGAGGAUGAUCAGCCACACUGGAACGGAGACACGGUCCAGGCUCCUACGGGAGGCAGCAGUGGGGAAUAUUGGACAAUAGGCGCAAGCCUGAUCCAGCCAUACCGCGUGGGUGAAGAAGGCCUUCGGGUUGUAAAGCCCUUUUGUUGGGAAAGAAAAGCAGCAGGUUAAUACCCCGCUGUUCUGACGGUACCCAAAGAAUAAGCACCGGCUAACUUCGUG
rnacentral:rRNA from 1 species